rnacentral:rRNA from 1 species
UACGUAGGGGGCAAGCGUUGUCCGGAUUUAUUGGGCGUAAAGAGCGUGUAGGCGGUCUGUCGCGUCUGCUGUGAAAAUCCGGGGCUCAACCCCGGACUGCAGUGGGUACGGGCAGACUAGAGUGUGGUAGGGGAGACUGGAAUUCCUGGUGUAGCGGUGGAAUGCGCAGAUAUCAGGAGGAACACCGAUGGCGAAGGCAGGUCUCUGGGCCACUACUGACGCUGAGAAGCGAAAGCAUGGGGAGCGAACAGG